ACGGAGGGGGCUAGCGUUGUUCGGAAUUACUGGGCGUAAAGCGCACGUAGGCGGCUUUGUAAGUUAGAGGUGAAAGCCCAGGGCUCAACCCUGGAAUUGCCUUUAAGACUGCAUCGCUUGAACAUCGGAGAGGUAAGUGGAAUUCCGAGUGUAGAGGUGAAAUUCGUAGAUAUUCGGAAGAACACCAGUGGCGAAGGCGACUUACUGGACGAUUGUUGACGCUGAGGUGCGAAAGCGUGGGGAGCAAACAGGA
rnacentral:rRNA from 1 species